UCGGGAAUUUUGGGCAAUGGGCGAAAGCCUGACCCAGCAACGCCGCGUGAGGGAUGAAGUAUUUCGGUAUGUAAACCUCGAAAGAAUGGGAAGAAUAAAUGACGGUACCAUUUAUAAGCUCCGGCUAACUACGUGCCAGCAGCCGCGGUAAUACGUAGGGAGCAAGCGUUGUUCGGAUUUACUGGGCGUAAAGGGCGCGUAGGCGGCGCGGUAAGUCACUUGUGAAAUCUCUGAGCUCAACUCAGAAUGGCCAAGUGAUACUGCUGUGCUAGAGUGCGGAAGAGGCAACCGGAAUUCUUGGUGUAGCGGUGAAAUGCGUAGAUAUCAAGAGGAACACCUGAGGCGAAGGCGGGUUGCUGGGCCGACACUGACGCUGAUGCGCGAAAGCCAGGGGAGCAAACG
rnacentral:rRNA from 1 species